rnacentral:tRNA from 1 species
GGGUCGAUAGGAUAAUUUGGGAAUCCACCUGUUUGAAGAACAGGCGCAUCUCGGUUCAAAUCCGGGUCGGCCCA